rnacentral:lncRNA from 1 species
GUGACAGGAGCACUGUAUGUGUUGGCGCUGCAAAGCACAGCGUUGCUCAUGUACAGCACUACUUCUGGUGACAUAAUCCUUUGCGUGGCGCCUUAUUCUGAGAGUAGCUGAAUGAGAACGAGGCACCUCACAAAGGAUGAUGUGGCUGCACAAUGGAAGAUGUCAGCAUGGUGAGCGGUGAUCUGGGGGAGGGGAUUCCACACUGUGUAUACUGCUGCCCGGUAUAGUGGUGGUGGUGAUGGGCCUGUGCAAGGUGUGACAGGCCCAUCCCAGCCAGCGCUGUAGCCUCCCCUAUCCCAGACAGCGGUAUAAAGAUUUGUUCAUAGUCCGACCCUCCAACGGUCUGAGGGACAGUGAACUGGCCCCCUGUGUAAAAAGUUUGGGGACCUCAGAUCUAGAUCGUUGGCUGGAACCCUCAAGGGCCUGGGGAAAGGGUGCUCCAGAGAGCAAAGUAACUAGAACUCCUAAGCUGUCUCCUCAAGAUGGGUGGAGCUUUAUUCUGCUGAGCUCCAGAAAGCAAAACCCUAAGCUGUGGCAUCAGCUGCCUUGGGAGGCAUUUCAAAGAAAACAGAAAUCCAAUCCCAAAGAGAAGCAGCAGCCACAGGACUCUCCUGCUAGACACAACUUGAAAGCCUCCUGGUGACUUUGUUUCCCAUCUUAACCUUGCCGGCAUCCCCAGCUUCCUGUAUCACUUCUAUGCCAACAAGGAUCACCAACUACUGU